rnacentral:rRNA from 1 species
ACACUCUAUACGGAGUUACAAAGGACGACAUUAGACGAAUCAUCUGGAAAGAUGAAUCAAAGAAGGUAAUAAUCCUGUAGUCGAAAAUGUUGUCUCUCUUGAGUGGAUCCUGAGUACGACGGAGCACGUGAAAUUCCGUCGGAAUCUGGGAGGACCAUCUCCUAAGGCUAAAUACUCUCUAGUGACCGAUAGUGAACCAGUACCGUGAGGGAAAGGUGAAAAGCACCCCGGAAGGGGAGUGAAAUAGAACCUGAAACCGUGUGCUUACAAGUAGUCAGAGCCCGUUAAUGGGUGAUGGCGUGCCUUUUGUAGAAUGAACCGGCGAGUUACGAUUUGAUGCAAGGUUAAGCAGUAAAUGUGGAGCCGUAGCGAAAGCGAGUCUGAAUAGGGCGUUUAGUAUUUGGUCGUAGACCCGAAACCAGGUGAUCUACCCUUGGUCAGGUUGAAGUUCAGGUAACACUGAAUGGAGGACCGAACCGACUUACGUUGAAAAGUGAGCGGAUGAACUGAGGGUAGCGGAGAAAUUCCAAUCGAACCUGGAGAUAGCUGGUUCUCUCCGAAAUAGCUUUAGGGCUAGCCUCAAGUGAUGAUUAUUGGAGGUAG